GGUUAAGCGACUAAGCGUACACGGUGGAUGCCCUGGCAGUCAGAGGCGAUGAAGGGCGUGCUAAUCUGCGAUAAGCGCCGGUAAGGUGAUAUGAACCGUUAUAACCGGCGAUACCCGAAUGGGGAAACCCAGUGUGACUCGUCACACUAUCAUUAACUGAAUCCAUAGGUUAAUGAGGCGAACCGGGGGAACUGAAACAUCUAAGUACCCCGAGGAAAGAAAUCAACCGAGAUUCCCCCAGUAGCGGCGAGCGAACGGGGAGGAGCCCAGAGCCUGAAUCAG
rnacentral:rRNA from 1 species